rnacentral:rRNA from 1 species
GAUGAGAUUUCCCAUUUCUUUAAGAAAGUAAGAUCCCUGAGAGAUGAUCAGGUAGAUAGGUCAGGAGUGGAAGUACAGUGAUGUAUGGAGCGGACUGAUACUAAUCGAUCGAGGACUUAACCAAU